rnacentral:sRNA from 1 species
UCGAUUAGUCGCAAGUCGACUUUUAGAUCCCUAGUCAAAAUUCAACAUUUGUAUAAGGAACAAUCAUUUACUUUCUCUAUUAAAAAUUAAAAUAUGUGUGUCGUGUAGUGUUUUGCAAUUAAAUCUUAUCGAGUUAAGAGCAUUGCAGAUUCAAUACCCGUAAUUUAUAAAACAGAAAUAUGUGCUUCACUUCUCUCAGGACAACAGUGUUCUAACGACAAAAAAUACAUACACAACCACUUCUUAUACAUACAUUUGUAUAUACAAAUACCAAUAAGAAAAAAGGAAAAUCUGAAAUCAAAAUUUCUCCGGUUUUUAUCAAAGCGAUCUCAAUUUCUAAAAACACCGAUAUGUUUUAACUCACCUGUUGGUUAAGUACUGUAAUUUCCAGUUAUUUAUAAAUUAAAUUACAUUAAUACAUACUGUGUAUUUAAAGGAGUGGUUUGCUUACAUUUCGUCUAAAAAUGGCCGCAUAUAAUUUGGGCGGUGCAGACAUUUCUCUUCCUGCCGAUGUUCGCGAAAAAUUGGCUGAGCUAGAUUUGGAGUUGUCCGAGGAUUUUCGCAAUGCCUAUUUGACGUGAACUAUGCGUUGUGGUUAAGUAUAAAUGAAAUCCUGUAUCCUCAAUUAUUCAUUACACUUAAUGUUAUUCGAUUCAAUUAACAUCCAAAGAAACCAUCAUUGUGCAAAAAAGGGGAUGUUCAAAUAAAAAAAAAAUUAACAAAUAAAUACCUGUCCUGCA